rnacentral:rRNA from 1 species
AUGGGUCGUACCAAUGUCAAUUCUAUUUGGGGUAAGAUUUGAAAAUUAUCGUGUCCGGCAAAGGUAAAGAUAUUUAUUUGGCGAACGUUGUAUGGAACUCUACCGUGUCGUGUUACACUUGCCAAUAGACAUAUAAAAGUUUCGCCCCUUUGUCCAUCUUGCUCGAAUGGGCAAGAAGAUACAAAGCACAUCUUGUUUCUCUGUCAGAAGGCAAAAGAGGUUUGGGGAAAGCUGGGGAUGUACGAGGUAAUUAAGAAAGCUUGUGUUAUUGAUCGUGUGGGUGAGGCGGUUCUUGAAUUUUUACUUCUUAUGCCACACCAAUCUAUAUUAGGUUGCCAAAAUACAAGUGAAUUAAUCGCGAUAACCGCCUGAUAUUUAUGGUGGGAGAGACGCAUGUUGGUUCAUGAAGGGAAAUCUCAAGAAGUGAAUCAGAUUUCGAUGGGGAUUCGUGCUAUAACUGCAAACUAUGUGAAUGCCCACUCCCCUAGUGCGACUAGUAGAAAAGAAGGAUGGAGCCGACCUCCUAUGGGUUUUGUUAAACUAAAUGUUGAUGCUUCUUUUGACCAUGAUCUGCUCAGGGGCACAACAGGUGCGGUGCUCAGAGAUGACAAAGAAAACUUCAUUGCUGGCGGAAAUUGGAAGAUUGAUUGGUGUGCUGAUGUACUAACAGCAGAAGCGAUGGCUCUUAGGUUUGGUUUAAUUCUUGCACAAAAGGUGGGAUGCAAUCUUCUUAUUAUUAACUCUGAUAAUAUGAAAGUCAUCGACACAAUGAAGAAUGAAGGACAAUUGGCGGGAGUUGCGGCAGCAGUAUUCGAGGAUUGCUACUUCAUGGCAUGCGAUUUUCCGUUGACUAGAUUUGAACAUUGUAAUAGGGUAGCUAAUAAGGUUACUCAUGAACUUGCUAGGCUAGCGAAAGUUUCUGUAACUAGAGAUUGGUUUAAGGAGCAUAUGGAGAAUAUUGUAUCUCUUCUUAUAGACGAUGUAACUAUCAUUUCCAAUUAA